AAAAAUGAAGCCCCCAAAAUUUUGGGGCCUAAAGCUCCCGCUUUAGUGGCUUGCCCCUCUGGCCGGCCCUGGAUUGCAUAUGUGAGGCACUUGAAAUAUGUAUGGCGAAAGAUCAGGGAAGACCAAGGUUUGAUGGUAAACGUUAACCUUGGCCUUUGCCAAAGGAAAAACACCAGUGUUAAUUACUAUCAUACAAAAACAAAUUUUUGUAGCUGAUAGUGUUCAUAUUGGUCAAGCACUAUCGGUGCAAUUGGCACUUCGGAGGAUUGCAAUAGACUUCGAACAUACGGUUUCUGUCAUAUGGGGAUAUGCACAGUCUGAUUUAGAGUCUGCUGCCAUACUAUGGAUUGUUCCCUUUCGUAGUUCUAUGGACAAUUGGCUCGUCAUUGGGAGAAGGAUGUUUUAGGUGUGUCAGUGGAGUUGAAACGGAUAUUGAAAGCUGCGGUACUUUCAACACUUCUUGUGCAACUUACAAGCUACUGGGAGAGUCUAGAGAGAAUCCGCUGAUGUGUUCUUUUGAUGGUGUUACUACUCUUAUUGUGGAGCAGUGCAUAAUAUCUUUAUCGGGGAAAUUGAAAGAUUAUGAUGCUGUUCAAGUCACGUUUUUCAUUGCAUAACUUGUUGAAGAUCCAUACCAAAGAGCAUAUUGGUCGUACUCUGUGGCUUGAUAUUCAUACUCUAUUUCAUAUCUUGAGUCGAACCUCGAGGACAAGGUUCUCAUUGAGGGCAAGGGAAUUGUGAACCAAGUGGACCCCAUAAGGGGCUUAUGAACUAGAAGUGGUGAAUGAGACUAGUUCAGCUGUUAUUAUUGUGCUGAGUAAAAUGGUAGAGAGAUUUAUUUGGGAACCAGACUCAAUUAUCAAGUGGUCAAAAAGGACCGUGGAUUUGGAAGAAGAGUUCUAUGCGUAUUGUUGAAGACUCUCUUCCCCGUUCUCUAAGUCUAGCUAGUUCCUCAUCUCCCUCUUCAGUCUACCUCUAGUUCGUACUUUCCAUAAUUAUGCAUUCCUGGAACUGUAAUUGAACUUUUAUCUCAUUUAUAUAAUUGAGAAGAUGGUUAUUGUGACUUUGAAUUUGAGUUUCUUACUAAUAAUAAAUUACUACAUGGGAGGUUGAAGCA